CACGUAGGGUGCGAGCGUUGUCCGGAUUUAUUGGGUUUAAAGGGAGCGUAGGCGGCCUAUUAAGUCAGUGCUGAAAUAUCCCGGCUUAACCGGGAGGGUGGCAUUGAUACUGAUGGGCUUGAGUAAAGUUGAGGUAGGCGGAAUUGACGGUGUAGCGGUGAAAUGCUUAGAGAUCGUCCAGAACACCGAUAGCGAAGGCAGCUUACUAAGGAGUAACUGACGCUGAGGCACGAAAGUGUGGGGAUCAAACAGG
rnacentral:rRNA from 1 species